UAUCAGAUUUUUACACAUAAAAAGAUAGACCUUUCUCCAAAAAACAGGGUCACGGGCAAAAAACCCCUCCUUCCCUUUUUCUUGCUUCUUCCUUCAUCAUCUUCAACGGAACGAGAUCUCCCCCAUCCCGAGAACAAAGGCACCAUUUUCUGGUCUUUUUCUUCCUCAUUCUUGAAAAGGACCACCAUAUUUUGAGUUCAAAAAUCUGAAUCUCAGAUCUUAAAUAAAAAAAAAAUCUGUUCAUCUUCAUUUCGAAUUUUAGCUAAAAAAUGAAUUUCUCUUAAAAUGUUGGAAUUGGUUCGAAUGUGACUAAGAUGUAGGCUGUUCGAAGUUGAUUCGCAUGUCCGUCCGAGUUUUUUGUUAAAUUUAAGUUCCGGCUAUUUGAGAUCUGGUUCAUUGUUCGAUUUUGCUGAUUUUGCUGCUGCAUUGUUGAUUUGCUGAGCUUCAUUUCCGGGUUAUCCGGAAUUUGAUUUUGGAGAAUGGUCUCAGCUUGAAGCUUUAAAUUGGAAA